rnacentral:rRNA from 1 species
AUGAACGCUGGCGGCGUGCCUAAUACAUGCAAGUCGAGCGAACAGACGAGGAGCUUGCUCCUCUGACGUUAGCGGCGGACGGGUGAGUAACACGUGGAUAACCUACCUAUAAGACUGGGAUAACUUCGGGAAACCGGAGCUAAUACCGGAUAAUAUAUUGAACCGCAUGGUUCAAUAGUGAAAGACGGAUUUGCUGUCACUUAUAGAUGGAUCCGCGCCGCAUUAGCUAGUUGGUAAGGUAACGGCUUACCAAGGCAACGAUGCGUAGCCGACCUGAGAAGGUGAUCGGCCACACUGGAACUGAGCCACGGUCCAGACUCCUACGGGAGGCAGCAGUAGGGAAUCUUCCGCAAUGGGCGAAAGCCUGACGGAGCAACGCCGCGUGAGUGAUGAAGGUCUUCGGAUCGUAAAACUCUGUUAUUAGGGAAGAACAAAUGUGUAAGUAACUAUGCACGUCUUGACGGUACCUAAUCAGAAAGCCACGGCUAACUACGUG